AGGAUGAACGCUGGCGGCGUGCUUAACACAUGCAAGUCGAGCGGAAAGGCCCUUCGGGGUACUCGAGCGGCGAACGGGUGAGUAACACGUGAGUAAUCUGCCCCUAGCUCUGGGAUAGCUCCGGGAAACCGGGAUUAAUACCAGAUACGACCACUUUAGACAUCUUCUGUGGUGGAAAGAACUUCGGCUAGGGAUGAACUCGCGGCCUAUCAGCUUGUUGGUGAGGUACGGCUCACCAAGGCGACGGACGGGUAG
rnacentral:rRNA from 1 species